AUUGAACGCUGGCGGCAGGCCUAACACAUGCAAGUCGAACGAGUGGCGGACGGGUGAGCAAUGACUGGGAAAGUGCGUGAUGGAGGGGGAUAACUACUGGACACGGUUGCUAAUACCGCAUACCAUCAGAUGUGCCCAGAUGGGUUUAGCUAGGGGGUGGGGUAACGGCUCACCAAGGCGACGAACCCUAGCUGGUCUGAGAGGAUGACCAGCAAAACUGGAACUGAGACACGGUCCAGACUCCUACGGGAGGCAGCAGUGGGGAAUAUUGCACAAGGGGCGAAAGCCUGAUGCAGCCAUGCCGCGUGUAUGAAGAAGGCCUUCGGGUUGUAAAGUACUUUCAGCGGGGAGGCGUUACCCACAGAAGAAGCACCGGCUAACUCCGUGCCAGCAGCCGCGGUAAUUC
rnacentral:rRNA from 1 species